GGUGACCCCUUCUCACUAGUGGAAUGUCAGUGGAAGUGAAGUUUGCUUAAAAGAAAAUGGCUUGCCCUCUACUUCUGCUCCUCCCCUUUCCCAGUGGCUGCCAUCAUACAGAGGCCAACACCUUGAGCCCAGGGGAUGGUGAAGAGAGAAAAUGGAAGGAACAAGGUUCUUCAUCUCCGGACUGUUAUGAGAAUGAGCAACGGCCGGCACUUGAACCUGGGAGGCAGAGGUUGCAGUAAGCCAAGAUUAUGCCACUGCACUCCAGCCUGGGCAACAGAGCGAGACUCUGUCUGAAAAAAAACAAAAAACAAACAAACAAGAAUUUGUUACAGCAUCUAUACCUGGACCCCAACCAUGAGCCAGGAGAGGAUUCGUUUCCUGGGGGCAGUGUGGAAGGGAGUGGUGGAGAGAGACAGGAGCGGGGAAGAGAGGAGACAAACAGAUGAGGCCAUCAGGGAGAAAUCUCCUUGGUUAGAGAACAAGAACAAGGCUGGGCACGGUGGCUCAUGCCUGUAAUCACAGCACUUUGGGAGGCCAACGCAGGAGGAUGGCUUGAGGUCAGGAGUUCAAGACCAAGCUGGGCAACAUGGCAAAACCCCAUCUUUACCAAAAAUACAAAAAUUAGCCAGGCAUGGUGAUAUGCGCCUGUAGUCCCAGCUACUAGGGAGGCUCAGGUAGGAGGAUGGCUUGAACCCAGGAGGUGGAGGCUGCAGUGAGCCAAGAUUGCAUCACUGAACUCCAGCCUGGGUAAGGAAGUGAGACCAUGACAAAAAGAAAAAAAAGAAAAACUUGUUAUGCUGUCGGCCCAUUACAUGUCUGACAUGAAAUAAAAACAAACCCAGGGUUUAUUUUGGAGUGAUGGAAAUUUUUUGGAAGUAGAUAGUGGUGGUGGUUGCAUAAUAUUGUGAAUGAACUAGAUGCCACUGAUGUUCACUUUAAAAUGGUUAAAUUUAUGGAUUUCACUUCAACAAGUUAAAAAAAAUAAGGAACAAGAAUUUGGAUGCCUGAAUUCACAUUGAACUUGUUUUCAUUCCUGUGAAUAUAAACACCUUCUCUAUGACCAGGUGCGAUGGCUCACACCUGUAAUACCAGCACUUUGGGAGGCUGAGGCGGGUGGAUCACUUGAGGUCAGGAGUUCGAGACCAGCCUGGCCAACAUGGUGAAACCCCAUCUGUACUAAAAAUACAAAAU
rnacentral:lncRNA from 1 species